rnacentral:rRNA from 1 species
GACAGAGGGUGCAAACGUUGUUCGGAAUUACUGGGCGUAAAGCGCGCGUAGGCGGACCUGCAAGUCGGGGGUGAAAGCCCGAGGCUCAACCUCGGAACUGCCUUCGAUACUGCGGGUCUCGAGUCCGGGAGAGGUGAGUGGAAUCCUAGUGUAGAGGUGAAAUUCGUAGAUAUUAGGAAGAACACCAGUGGCGAAGGCGGCUCACUGGCCCGGUACUGACGCUGAGGCGCGAA